GCACUCGUAGCUCAGCUGGAUAGAGCGCUGCCCUCCGAAGGCAGAGGUCAGAGGUUCGAAUCCUCUCGGGUGCGCCA
rnacentral:tRNA from 1 species